ensembl:lincRNA
AACAGAGUCAUCCUGGGGGCCAGGACCUCUAAAACGGCAUCAUCCUGGGGGGGCCAGGACCUCUGAAACAGUGUCAUCCUGGGGCCAGGACCUCUAAGACGGCAUCAUCCUGGGGGGGCCAGAACCUCUAAACAGUGUCAUCCUGGGCAGCCACCGGCUCUGGAAAUUCUUGUGCGUUGGUGUGAAAACCCCUGUGUGCUCCUCGGGAGCCAGACAUGCCACUCGCUGCGUGCUCGGUCUCUGGUGAGGACGUGUCUUACCGUGUGGCGAGCUUGUGGCAGACGACCCCAGUGUCUGUGAUGACCUCGCUCAGCCGCAGCUCCAGGUGCACUUUGCCCUGCAAGGCACAAGGAUGGGGUGUCAGAGGCUGUGGCGCUGCUCCCACAGGCCACUAGGGCCGCGCGCCCAGGGAAAGCCCAGAGGGCAAAGGGAGCAGGCAGCCCCGCCCUGCCCUGGCCAAUGGGCACGUCCAGCCCCUCCACUCCACCCCCGAGACGCAGGGUCCCAGCCGUGGCCUUCCUCCAGGAGAGCUGCUUGCCUGACUGCUCAGCCCCAUGUGGCUGCCCAGGCUCCUGGCUCUGCUGAGAGCAGGUCGCUGCCUCAGAAGUGAGGGGUCCAACCGUGUAGGAGACGGUCAUUCAGUGAAGCAGACCCCCAAAGGCGCUGAUGCUGCAGGCUGCUCGUGUGUCCGUCGGGACAAAGCAGAGGGAAGCAGAGCUGUCUCCCGAGCAGGGGCCACUGCCUUUACCUCCCCUCAGGCGAGGCCGGAUGGAGGCCCCCAGGACCCUCGGAGAGCUCACACAGAGGACAAGGCUCACACAGAGAGCAAGACUCACACAGAGGGCAAGGCUCACACAGAGAGCAAGACUCACACAGAGGGCAAGGCUCACACAGAGCAAGACUCACACAGGAGGCAAGGCUCACACAGAGGGCAAGACUCACACAGAGGGCAAGGCUCACACAGCAAGACUCACACAGAGGGCAAGACUCACACAGAGAGCAAGACUCACACAGGAGACAAGGCUCACACAGAGGGCAAGACUCACACAGAGGGCAAGACUCACACAGGAGGCAAGGCUCACACAGAGGGCAAGACACACAGGGAGCAAGGCUCACACAGAGGGCAAGACUCACACAGAGGGCAAGGCUCACACAGAGGGCAAGACUCACACAGGAGGCAAGGCUCACACAGAGGGCAAGGCUCACACAGAG